CCUACGGGCGGCUGCAGUGGGGAAUAUUGGACAAUGGGGGCAACCCUGAUCCAGCCAUGCCGCGUGUGUGAAGAAGGCCCUCGGGUUGUAAAGCACUUUCAGUGAGGAAGAACGCCUGGUGGUUAAUACCCAUCAGGAAAGACAUCACUCACAGAAGAAGCACCGGCUAACUCCGUGCCAGCAGCCGCGGUAAUACGGAGGGUGCGAGCGUUAAUCGGAAUUACUGGGCGUAAAGCGCGCGUAGGUGGCUUGAUAAGCCGGUUGUGAAAGCCCCGGGCUCAACCUGGGAACAGCAUCCGGAACUGUCAAGCUAGAGUGCAGGAGAGGAAGGUAGAAUUCCCGGUGUAGCGGUGAAAUGCGUAGAGACCGGGAGGAAUACCAGUGGCGAAGGCGGCCUUCUGGACUGACACUGACACUGAGGUGCGAAAGCGUGGGUAGCAAACAGGAUUAGAUACCCGUGUAGUC
rnacentral:rRNA from 1 species